rnacentral:misc_RNA from 1 species
AUUAGGUAUAAUUAAAAAUAAGUAUCAAUAUUCUGAUUCUAUGUUUGAAGUAGAAGUGCAAAGUUGGUUUAGAACUGCUAAAACUCGAUAUGACAGGACAAACGCUGUUAAGAGUUCAUAAACGCAUUAAAGAUAUUGGAAGUGUAUCUAAACGUCAAUUUCAGAGGCGUAUUAAAAAUAAAUUACAAUUACUUCUUAAUAAUAAUCCAGCAAUACCCAUAAAUCCUGAUAUCCAAUCUUCAUCACAACUAACAAAUCUUUUCAUACUUUCAAAAGCAUCUUCCAAUGAAGAAAUUAACUCAAUCAAUUGUAUUGAGUCAUGUCCUUCUAUGAAUGUUUUAACUAACAAUUUGCAGACUAAUCAAUUUUAUAAUUUCAAUGAUUUUCCUGAAGACAUCCAGCCUGUUAAAAAUAUACUGUGUGCAACUAGUUCAAUCAGAGACAAAAAUAAAGAUCUUGUACAACAACUUCGAAAAUGGGCAGUGCAGUCAAUGUAUCUCACGCGUGUGCUAAUAAAAUGUUAGAAAUCCUGAGAAGUUCAGGUCUACAAGUUCCUAAAGAUAUUCGAACAAUCCUGCAUGAAAAUAAGGUUAUUAGGCCUAUUCUAGAAAUUGAAAAUGGAUCUUAUCUCGAUUUAGAUUAUAUGGUCCAUUGGACAAUUUCAGUGCAUUCAAGUACGAAAAUUACCUUCAAACUCUAAAGAAGUCAAUGAAAUGUUGUAAAUAUCCACUGUCUGAAAUAAGAAAUAAAAUAAUAGCACUUAAAUGUAAAGAAUUGAAAACUAUCACAAUAAAUAAAUGUUUUUUAAAGUAUUUUAAAAUAGAUGAAAAUCUUUCAAAUUUUGAAUUAACAUUUU